AUUUUACAGAUAAAUAUUGUAGAUUUGGGUUUGUGAUUUAAAAAUUAGGAUAACCAGAAUAUUUGUGGAUAGAUGAGUAUUAUUUAAGAAUUUUUCAUCAAUGUGUUGUAUUUUUAGAUAAUUUUAUUAAAAACUGCUAUUUUAGGAAAGUUUUCAUUUUUUUAAAGAAAUAUAGUAGAUUUGAGUUUGUGGUUUAAAAAUUAAGAUAACAAGAAUAUUUGUGGAUAAUUGAGUAUUCUUUUAGAAAAUUUCAUCACCAAGUUGUAUUUUUAAAUAAUUUCUUAAAAACUGCUAUUUUUAGAAAGUUUUCAUUUUAUAGAUAAAUAUUGUUUAAAUAAUUUUCUUAAAAACUGCUAUUUUUGGAAAGUUUUCAUUUUAUAGAUAAAUGUUGUAGAUUUGGGUUUGUGAUUUAGAACUUAGGAUAACUAGACUAUUUGUGGAUAGAUGAACACUCUUUAAGAAUUUUUCAUCAAUGUGUUGUAUUUUUAAAUAAUUUUCUUAACAACUGCUAUUUUUGGAAAGUUUUCAUUUUAUAAAUAAAUAUUGUAGAUUUGGGUUUGUGAUUUAAAAAUUAGGAUAACAAAAAUAUUUGUGGAUAUGUGAGUAUUAUUUAAGAAUUUUUCAUUAAUGUGUUGUAUUUUUAGAUAAAAUUCUUAAAAACUGCUAUUUUUGUAAUGUUUUCAUUUUAUAGAUAAAUAUAGUAGAUUUGGGUUUGUGAUUAGGAUACCUAGACUAUUUGUGGAUAGAUGAACACUCUUUAAGAAUUUUUCAUCAAUAGGUUGUAUUUUUAAAUAAUUUUUUUAAAAACUGCAAUUUUUGAAAACAUUUCAUUUUUUUAUAGAUUAAUAUUGUAGAUUUGGGUUUGUGAUUUAGAAAUUAGGAUAACAAGAAUAUUUGUGGAUAAUUGAGUAUUAUUUUAGAAAUUUUCAUCACCAAGUUGUAUUUUUAAAUAAUUUUCUUAAAACUGCUAUUUUUGGAAAGUUUUCAUUUUAUAGAUAAAUAUUGUAGAUUUGGGUUUGUGAUUUAGAACUUAUGAUAACUAGACUAUUUGUGGAUAGAUGAACACUCUUUAAGAGUUUUUCAUCAAUAGGUUGUAUUUUUAAAUAAAUUUCUUAAAAACUACUAUUUUUGGAAAGUUUUCAUUUUAUAGAUAAAUAUUGUAGAUUUGGGUUUGUGAUUUAAAACUUAGGAUAACUAGACUAUUUGUGGAUAGACGAACACUCUUUAAGAAUUUUUUAUCAAUGUGUUGUAUUUUUAAAUAAUUUUCUUAACAACUGCUAUUUUUGGAAAGUUUUAAUUUUAUAGAUAAAUAUUUUAGAUUUGGGUUUGUGAUUUAAAAAUUAGGAUAACAAGAAUAUUUGUGGAUAGAUGAGUAUCAUUUAAGAUUUUUUCAUCCAUGGGUUGUAUUUUUAAAUAAUUUUCUUAAAAACUACUAUUUUUGGAAAGUUUUCAUUUAUUUAAAGAAAUAUAGUAGAAUUGAGUUUGUGGUUUAAAAAUUAAGAUAACAAGAAUAUUUAGGGGUAAUUGAGUAUUCAUUUAAAAAAUUUCAUCACCAAGUUGUAUUUUAAAAUAAUUUUCUUAAAAACUCUUAUUUUUGGAAAGUUUUCAUUUUAUAGAUAAAUAUUGUAGAUUUGGGUUUCUGAUUUAGAACUUAGGAUAACUAGACUAUUUGUGGAUAGAUGAACACUCUUUAAGAAUUUUUCAUCAAUAGGUUGUAUUUUUAAAUAAUUUUCUUAAAAACUGCUAUUUUUGGAAAGUUUUCAUUUUAUAGAUAAAUAUUGUAGAUUUGGGUUUAUCUAGUAAUUAGGAUAACCAAAAUAUUUGUGGAUACAUAAAUAUUCUUUCAGAAUUUUGCAUCAAUAUGUUGUAUUUUUAAAUAAUUUCCUUAAAACUGCUAUUUUUGGAAAGUUUUCAUUUUUUUGAGAAAUAUUGUAGAUUUGGGUUUGUGGUUUAAAAAAUAGGAUACAAGAAUAUUUGUGGAUUGAUGAGUAUUAUUUAAGAAUUUUUCAUCAAUGUGUUGUAUUUUUAAAUAAUUUUCUUAAAAACUUAUAUUUCUGAAAAGUUUUCAUUUUAUAGAUAAAUAUUGUAGAUUUGGGUUUGUGAUUUGAAAAUUAGGAUAACUAGACUAUUUGUGCACAGAUGAAUACUCUUUAAGAAUUUUUCAUCAAUAUGUUGUAUUUUUAAAUAAUUUUCUUAAAAACAGUUAUUUUUUGAAAGUUUUCAUUUUUAGAGAAAUAUUAUAGAUUUGGGUUUGUGAUUUAGAAAUUAGGAGAACAAAAAUAUUUGUGGAUAGAUGAGUAUUCUUUCGGAGUUUUUCAUCAAUAGUUUGUAUUUUUAAAUAAUUUUCUUAAAAACCUCUAUUUUUGGAAUGUUUUCAUUUUACAGAUAAAUAUUGUAGAUUUGGGUUUGUAAUUUAGAAAUUAGGAUAACUAGACUAUUUGUGGACAGAUGAAUACUCUUUAAGAAAUUUUCAUCAAUAUUUUGUAUUUUUAAAUAAUUUUCUUAAAAACUGUUAUUUUUGGAAAGUUUUCAUUUUUUUCAAAAAAUAUUAUAGUUAUUGGUUUGUGAUUUAUUAAUUAGGAUAACAAGAAUAUCUGUGGAUAAAUGAGUAUUCUUUCGGUGUUUUUCAUCAAUAGGUUGUAUUUUUAAAUAAUUUUCUUAAAAACUGCUAUUUCUGGAAAGUUUUCGUUUUAUACAUAAAUAUUUUAGAUUUGGGUU
rnacentral:lncRNA from 1 species